GAUGAACGCUGGCGGCGUGCUUAACACAUGCAAGUCGAACGAAGCACUUGAAACAGAUUCUUCGGGUGAAGUUUCCUGUGACUGAGUGGCGGACGGGUGAGUAACGUGUGGGUAACCUGCCUCAUACAGGGGGAUAACAGUUAGAAAUGGCUGCUAAUACCGCAUAAGCGCACGGCAUCGCAUGAUGCAGUGUGAAAAACUCCGGUGGUAUGAGAUGGACCCGCGUUGGAUUAGCUAGUUGGCAGGGUAACGGCCUACCAAGGCGACGAUCCAUAGCCGGCCUGAGAGGGUGGACGGCCACAUUGGGACUGAGACACGGCCCAGACUCCUACGGGAGGCAGCAGUGGGGAAUAUUGCACAAUGGGGGAAACCCUGAUGCAGCGACGCCGCGUGAGCGAAGAAGUAUUUCGGUAUGUAAAGCUCUAUCAGCAGGGAAGAAAAUGACGGUACCUGACUAAGAAGCCCCGGCUAACUACGUGCCAGCAGCCGCCGUAAUAC
rnacentral:rRNA from 1 species